UACGGGGGGGGGCAAGCGUUGUUCGGAAUUACUGGGCGUAAAGGGCUCGUAGGCGGCCAACUAAGUCGGACGUGAAAUCCCUCGGCUUAACCGGGGAACUGCGUCCGAUACUGGAUGGCUUGAGUUUGGGAGAGGGAUGCGGAAUUCCAGGUGUAGCGGUGAAAUGCGUAGAUAUCGAGAGGAACACCUGAGGUGAAGACGGGUUGCUGGGCCGACACUGACGCUGAGGCGCGAAAGCCAGGGUAGCAAACGGG
rnacentral:rRNA from 1 species